CCCCCAUCAUUUCCUUUGAUUUAAAAUAAAAAAACAGAAACAAGAUUUCCACUCCUGAGCAUCUAAUACAAUGCAUUUAAUGUAGGUGUUUAUUACUUGCUUAUUGAAUUGAGCAAGUCCAUGUUUAUUACAUUACAUUAGAAUGUGAUGCAUUGAAGAAGUACAAAGCACUAUAAGAGCUCAGAGAAGGAAGAGAUGAUUUCCAGCUGGUUCUUAACUAAUUCUGCUGUUACAUAUAUUAAUUGAGCUAGAAAAUUUGAAGAACUGUUUUGAAAAAUAAGGUGUGAUAUGCAAUUCUUGUGAUUGUACACAUCAGGUAUAGCUUGUUCCUAUCUGUUCUGUACAAGAAAAGUUUGACUUUCUAUAAAAAACAUCAAUGUGUCACAAGGGACUAUUGCUUAGAUCAUUUGCUUAAGAAAAAACUUAGUUUGCAAAGCAAUUUCUGGUUUAUGACUAGUCAAUUGAUUGUGCUAGUAAUAUCUAGAGCUAUUAUCAGUGUUCUAGAUUUGUAAAGGAAUUCAGAGAUGUUUUCCUCAUUUUACAGAUGAUUUCCCAGAAGGUUAAGUAGUUCGUCUAAGAUCACUCAAGUUGUAAGGGUCAGAAUUUGAACCCAGAUCCCUUCAUUCUAAAGACAACGCUCUUUCCUAAGUGGUACAUACAAUUUUCCCAUGGUCUUGAUCUUCUUGUGAAAGAUUUAGCUCAGUUUAAUUCCAGAGCUGUAACUAAGAACCUGUGCUCCUCAGACAAAUAGCAUGAAAGGUGUUGUCAAUGACAAUAAGUCUUUGGAUACCUGGAAUAAUGAAGGAUCAUUAUUAUGAGGAAACAACGUAGUGAGAGACAAGUUCAUACUAACAUACUUAGGGACUAAUAAUGCUAUUGGUACCCUUUAAAUUUGAUAGUAUUUAAAUGCAAUGCCCUGGUUCUUAUAGCCAUGCACUAGUAUAGUUUUGUUUAAUUCUACCAGUUCAAACCAUAACCCUAAUCAUCUCACAGACAUAGUAGAACCCUCCCCACUAUCCCUCUAUUACAUAUGGAUUUACAUGUUAUCUUUGGAGAAUUUGAAUGAUUUAAGCUCCCUCAAUUUAUUCUUCUUCUGAAAAGUUAGGGGGAUGAGCUAGAUGAUCACUGAAGGCCUUCUGUAAAUCUAUGUUUCUACAUUAUAAGAAUAUAAUCUAAAAUCAUGUAAAAGGGAAGAGAAAAAGGAAAAGAACCAAGUAUUUAUUAAACACCUACUAUGUGCCAGACACCAUGCUGAGAACUUUACAAAUAUUAUCUCAUUUGUGGGAAAUGUUUGAUCUUUGAAGAGUCAGAAGACAAUUUAAGAUGUUGCAGUGCUUCUUUAGGGUCAUCAAUAGGAACAUCAGAUAUAAUGACAUGAUACUUGUAAAAAAUGUACAUUUAGCUGAGUCUGUACUAGUUAACAUUGUAUUGAAC
rnacentral:lncRNA from 1 species